UCUGAAUGGGGGAACCCACCUACUUUAAGGUAGGUAUUGCAACAUGAAUACAUAGUGUUGCAAGGCGAACGAGGGGAAGUGAAACAUCUCAGUACCCUUAGGAAAAGAAAUCAAUUGAGAUUCCCUCAGUAGCGGCGAGCGAACGGGGAUCAGCCCAUUAAGUUAUGUGUGUUUUAGUGGAACGCUCUGGGAAGUGCGAACGUAGAGGGUGAUAUUCCCGUACACGAAAGGGCACACAUAAUGAUGACGAGUAGGGCGAGGCACGUGAAACCUUGUCUGAAUAUGGGGGGACCAUCCUCCAAGGCUAAAUACUCCUGACUGACCGAUAGUGAACCAGUACCGUGAGGGAAAGGCGAAAAGAACCCCUGUGAGGGGAGUGAAAUAGAUCCUGAAACCGCAUGCAUACAAGCAGUGGGAGCACCUUCGUGGUGUGACUGCGUACCUUUUGUAUAAUGGGUCAGCGACUUAUAUUCAGUAGCGAGGUUAACCGUAUAGGGGAGCCGUAG
rnacentral:rRNA from 1 species